rnacentral:rRNA from 1 species
CAUGUCUUUUUGAUUAUAAUUUAAAGUCUAAUCUGCUCCAUGAAAUUUUUAAAUAGCUGCAGAAUUUUAACUGUACAAAGGUAGCAUAAUCAAUAGUUUUUUAAUUAAAAGCUGGAAUGAAUGAUUUAAUAAGGUAAAUAUUGUCUCAAUUUUAAUGAUAAUAGAAUUUUUAUUUUAGUAAAAAUACUAAAAUUUUUUUAAAAGACGAGAAGACCCUAUAGAGUUUAAUAUUUUAAUUUGAAUAGAUUUAAAUUGAAUAAUAAUAUUUGAAUGAAAAAUAUUUGGUUGGGGAAAUUAUUAAAUUUAAUAAAUUUUAAUUUAUAUAUAGAACAAUAAUAUUUGAUUAUUUGAUCUUAAGUUAAAAUUAAUAGAUUAAAUUACCUUAGGGAUAACAGCGUAAUUUUUUUAGAGAGAUCAUAUUGAUAAAAAAGUUUGCGACCUCGAUGUUGAAUUAAGAUAAAAUUUUAAUGCAGAAGUUAAAAAUUUUUGGUCUGUUCGACCAUUAAA